rnacentral:rRNA from 1 species
GAUGAACGCUGGCGGCGUGCCUAAUACAUGCAAGUCGAGCGAACAGACGAGGAGCUUGCUCCUCUGACGUUAGCGGCGGACGGGUGAGUAACACGUGGGUAACCUACCUAUAAGACUGGGAUAACUUCGGGAAACCGGAGCUAAUACCGGAUAAUAUAUUGAACCGCAUGGUUCAAUAGUGAAAGACGGUUUUGCUGUCACUUAUAGAUGGAUCCGCGCCGCAUUAGCUAGUUGGUAAGGUAACGGCUUACCAAGGCAACGAUGCGUAGCCGACCUGAGAGGGUGAUCGGCCACACUGGAACUGAGACACGGUCCAGACUCCUACGGGAGGCAGCAGUAGGGAAUCUUCCGCAAUGGGCGAAAGCCUGACGGAGCAACGCCGCGUGAGUGAUGAAGGUCUUCGGAUCGUAAAACUCUGUUAUUAGGGAAGAACAAAUGUGUAAGUAACUAUGCACGUCUUGACGGCACCUAAUCAGAAAGCCACGGCUAACUACGUG